rnacentral:tRNA from 1 species
CCUUUGAUAGCUCAGCUGGUAGAGCAGAAGACUGUAGAUGCCUAUCCGUGGUCAUCCUUAGGUUGCUUAGGUUUGAUUCUAGCUCAAGGGA